GGGGGAAAAUAUCAAGAAUAUCAUAUAUUUCUCCCUGAAAAAUACAAGUCCUUUAUAGAAUCUUUGAGCUGCUGAAGCAUUUUGCAGCUUUGAAAUUCUGUGUUGGAAUUCUUUUCUCCUACAGUCCGAUUAGAGGAGGGAUCUUCUCUGUAUGUGUAAAUAGCGAGGUAUGUAUGUCACCUCUCCGAAUUAUUUUGACUGUGGUUCCUGGACUGUAAACAAGCUAUUAUCUUCUGGUGUUGAUGCCAGAAAAAACACAAAAGUUUGUCGUUAUCUCUACUAACGGAUCAUAAAGGGGUUUGUAACUGGAGUUUCAAACUUAAGGUAUCUAGGCAGUAGGUAUAUAUUGAUCCUACAUCUUAUGAUCUUAAGAUGAUAUCCUUCUCAUUAUCCUCUGCUGAAACUUUAGCUUGAACCGUCAUCUACACCACAAUUUGAGCCCCUUAGCACAGAGCACAACGAGCAAUAGCUUGCCCUUACGUUCAUUAUUUAGCAUGCACUACUACUAACUACCCAAUAAUCAAUACAUCGGUUAUUAAACUGUUUGUACAGUUUAAUAAUGUCAUUUUAUCACGUUAACAUAUGUUUCAUUCAACACCACACCGGUUUUGGCACAGUUGCAAACUUGCAAUAACAUUUUUACUACUUCUCCGCCCCAUAAUAUAACAAUCUCGUUCCAUACUAUAUUGCUAUAUUACGGGACGGAUGAAGUACUUCUUUCCUUCCAAAAUAUAAGAAUCUAGUACUAGAUUAGAUAUUAUUUGGAUUCACGAAUUUGAUUAGGCUAUCUAGAUUUGUAGUCGUAUGUAAUGUCUAAUUCGGUAAUAGGUUAUUACCUCUUUGGAUGGAGGGAGUAGUUUUUAUUUCGUACUCCCUCUGUUUCAUAUUAUAAGUUGUUUUGACUUUUUUCUUAGUCAAAUUUUAUUGAGUUUGACUAAAUUUAUAGAAAAAAAAUUAGCAACAUUUAAGCACCACAUUAGUUUCAUUAAAUGUAGCAUGGAAUAUAUUUUUAUAAUAUGUUUGUUUUUUUAUUAAAAUGCUACUAUAUUUUUCUAUAAAUGUAGCCAAAUUUAAAGAAGUUUGAUUACGAAAAAAAAUCAAAAUGACAUAUAAUAUGAAACUGAGGAUGUAGCAGACUAUAGCAAAUUUAAACUAUGCUUUUAUUUUAGAGCAUCACCAAAAGAGAUAGCCUAAAUCUUAUCUUAACUAAUUAAAAUAUUCAUAAUUUUCCUUUCGUCACAUUAAAUUUUCGUCCGUAAAUCCGAUUGAAAUCCAACUAGACAAUCCAAAAAAUAGAGAAAAAGAACAGAAAAAAUAAUAAAAAGCACACAAAUCUUAUCUCAAUCCCGCGGGAAGCUGCCGAUGCCGCCGAAUCCGCUCGAGCGCCGCCGCCGCCGCUCACGGGGAACGAUGUCGCUGCUAUCGCACGUGGUAUGGGAGGGCGCCGCCGCCGCUGCUUGGGAGAUAGGAUAUGGAGAGAGAAGGAAAUGUG
rnacentral:lncRNA from 1 species